ACAUCUUAGCAGCUCAGCACCGACUCAAACAACUCAACAAAGCCAGGGACAGAAGGGUCCUUGUCUGAAGGGACUAAACAAAGCAAGGCCAGAAGGGUCCUUGUCCGGAGGGACUAAACGAAGUUCCAAGCUUGCUGGGCUUGAAGAGUUCCUAGGGAACUAGAGGAGUCCUAAGGCUGCUGGCCUUGAAGAGUUCUUAGUGAACUGAAGUCCCAAGGCUGCUGGCCUUGAAGGAAUCGUAGAGAUUCAGGGUGCUGCCCUUCCUUAGUGGAAAUCCUGCUAGUUGAAAG
rnacentral:lncRNA from 1 species